AGAGUUUGAUCCUGGCUCAGAUUGAACGCUGGCGGCAUGCCUUACACAUGCAAGUCGAACGGCAGCACGGGAGCAAUCCUGGUGGCGAGUGGCGAACGGGUGAGUAAUAUAUCGGAACGUGCCCAGUCGUGGGGGAUAACGUAGAGAAAUUUACGCUAAUACCGCAUACGAUCUAAGGAUGAAAGCGGGGGAUCGCAAGACCUCGCGCGAUUGGAGCGGCUGAUAUCAGAUUAGGUUGUUGGUGAGGUAAAAGCUCACCAAGCCGACGAUCUGUAGCUGGUUUGAGAGAACGACCAGCCACACUGGGACUGAGACACGGCCCAGACUCCUACGGGAGGCAGCAGUGGGGAAUUUUGGACAAUGGGCGAAAGCCUGAUCCAGCAAUGCCGCGUGCAGGAAGAAGGCCUUCGGGUUGUAAACUGCUUUUGUACGGAACGAAACGGUCUGCCCUAAUACGGUGGGCUAAUGACGGUACCGUAAGAAUAAGCACCGGCUAACUACGUGCCAGCAGC
rnacentral:rRNA from 1 species